UCUAAUAGAAUUAUUAUCGUCGUCGAAAUUCCCAAAGAAGCACAAAAUCCUAAAGCCCAAAUGUUAACAACCUUUGUUCUUAGUGCCCGAGAUACUAUACACGAAGUGUUUCGGCCCAAACCGUUACCACCCGUGAAAGUGCCCUGUCUGACCAUGUCGAACAAGGAGAUGUUCUGCAACUUCGUCUUCUUUAGCGCGGCUAUUUUAGCACCCCUCUACUAUACCGUUUUGCGUGACGCUCUGCGCAAGAUUCGUAAUGUAAAUUAUAAAAUAGUUCGUGUGAGAAAUUAACUUUCGCACCAAUGUCAAAGAAAUCCUUGAUCCGUGAGAGUAAAUGUAAUGUUUGCAAAAAUGUUCAGCAAAUAAUAAAUAAUUGCGCAAAUAAAUUUAAUAUGUAACUGUAAAUUUAA